GCGCGGUUAGCUCAGUCGGUAGAGCGUCGGUGUCACAUACCGAAGGUCGCUGGUUCGAGACCAGCACCGCGCACCA
rnacentral:tRNA from 1 species